rnacentral:rRNA from 1 species
UACCACAUCCAAGGAAGGCAGCAGGCACGCAAAUUACCCAAUCCCAGCUCGGGGAGGUAGUGACGAAAAAUAACAAUGCGGGACUCUUCCGAGUCUGCGUAAUUGGAAUGAGCACACUUUAAAUCCUUUAGCGACAACCAAUUGGAGGGCAAGUCUGGUGCCAGCAGCCGCGGUAAUUCCAGCUCCAAUAGCGUAUAUUAAAGUUGUUGCGGUUAAAAAGCUCGUAGUUCGAGGUCAGUUCCGGACUGGCCGGGGGGGUCACCGCCCGGUGCUUCCCCGUCAGGCUCCGAACAGCUUCACACAGUAGAAGCCAAGCCGGUUCUCGCCGGGGUGCUCUUGACCGAGUGUCCCGCGCGGCCGGCCAGUUUACCUUGAAUAAAUGAGAGUGCUCAAAGCAGGCUACUCUUAAAACUAAAGCCCGAAUGUUACCUGCAUGGAAUGAUGGAAGAUGAUCUCGGUUCCAUUUUAUUGGUGGUGGGAAUCCGAGUUAAUGAUAAAGAGGGACUGUCGGGGGCAUCCGUACUACGACGCGAGAGGUGAAAUUCAGUGACCGUCGUAGGACGAACAACAGCGAAAGCAUUUGCCAAGAAUGUCUUCGUUGAUCAAGAACGAAAGUUAGAGGAUCGAAGGCGAUCAGAUACCGCCCUAGUUCUAACCCUAAACGAUGCUGACUAGCAAUUCGCCGUCGUUAUUCCCAUGACGUGGCGAGACGCCCCCGGGAAACCUCAAGUUUUUGAGUUCCGGGGGUAGUAUGGUUGCAAAACUGAAACUUAAAGGAAUUGACGGAAGGGCACCACCAGGAGUGGAGCCUGCGGCUUAAUUUGACUCAACACGGGAAACCUCACCAGGCCCGGACACCAGAAGGAUUGACAGAUUAAGAGCUCUUUCUCGAUUUGGUGGGUGGUGGUGCAUGGCCGUUCUUAGUUGGUGGAGUGAUUUGUCUGGUUAAUUCCGGUAACGAACGAGACUCUGGCCUACUAAAUAGUCGACGCGGGUUUUGGUGCAUGAGCCCCGUUCGACCUAGUCUUCUUAGAGGGAUGAGCAGCGAGUAUAGCUGCAGGAGAUUGAGCAAUAACAGGUCUGUGAUGCCCUUAGAUGUCCUGGGCCGCACGCGCGCUACACUGAAUGGGUUAGCGGGUUGUCCUUCUCCGAGAGGAGCGGGAAAUCGCGUGAAAACCAUUCGUGAUAGGGAUUGGGGCUUGCAAUUGUUUCCCAUGAACGAGGAAUUCCCAGUAAGCGCAAGUCAUCAGCUUGCGUUGAUUAAGUCCCUGCCCUUUGUACACACCGCCCGUCGCUACUACCGAUUGAAUGAUUUAGUGAGGCCUUCGGACUGGCGGUCUUGGACUGAGUUCCGCUCGCCACUAAACCCCAGCAAUGGGGGGCGGCGGACUCGCCAUGACGAGCCGGAAAGAUGUCCAAACUGAU